rnacentral:misc_RNA from 1 species
GUUAGAAAAAUAAUUAGUGAUUGUGUAUUAUUUUUUUUGUUAGUGGAUUUAUUGUUACUCUGAAUUAUCUUAAAAUUUUAUUUUCUUUAAUUUGUGUAGGUGAUUUUCACAAUAAUUGGUAUUAGAAUCAUGGCUUGAGAUGUCGAAAAUGGUAAGCACAAAGUUUGAGAGGGAACCAUUCGAUAGGAAACACAAUUUCAUUUUGUGGCAAAGCAUGGUGAAGGAUGUCCUUGUGCAAUAAAUAUUAUUUAAGGCUUUGAACAAGAAGCAACUAGCAACUAUCAAGGAUAAUGAUUGAGAGGAAAUUCAAUAAAGGGCAAUAAGUACGAUUUAAUUAAUGUUAACCCUUGAUGUGAAGUACAAUAUUUUGAAAGCGAGUUCGCUAAUUACUUUGUGAAAAAAAAUUGUAGAGCCUAUGCAUUUCAAAGUUACUCACAAACUGCCUGUAUUUGAAGGAGUUGUACCAACUCAAAAUGGAUGAAGUUACUAAAGUGAAGGAUCACCUUAAUGUUUUUAAUAAAUUAAUUACUCAAU